GUGGGUGGUUAUAUGGUGGGUGGUUUCGGUGGGGUGGGGCUGGUUUUUUUUUUUUAUUGAAUUUUCCGACGGAAAAUUCCUCUUCCGACGGAAAAUUCCUCUUCCGAUGAAUUAUUCCGAGGAAAAAUCCGUCGGAAAGUUGCGAUGGACUGACGUGGAAAGUCAAAUCCUCCUACGAUGGAAAUAAAUUCCGUCGGAAAAGUGUUUUCGACGGAAUUUCCCUCGGAAAACCCCAAUUUUCCGACGAAGAGUUUUCCGGCAGAACCUUUCCGACGGAUUUUUCGCUUAUUCCGACGGAAAAAUUCCGUUGGAAAUCAGCUGUUUUCUAGUAGUGCUUGCGGUCAAUAUCAUUGGUUUGAUGCGCUACUUGAUCUGUUUGCCGUUGUAAACAUCUACAAGUGUGCAGCCAUGCAUUCCGGACUUGGUUUGCAUUGUCGAGCUUAUUAUCCAUGUACCACGGUUCUCCCUUGGUGUUCGCGUGCGACCGUCACCACAUGAUAUGUUCAUUUUAGAUAGUGAUUUACUCCCAUCCCUCGGUCAUUUUUAGGAGUAUUAUUGGCUCUUUGGAGUCUCUUUUAUUACUAAUAUGUGUUUUCUAGUGUUUUUGUAGUUUUAGUACUGUUUUAUAGAAAAUUGCAGAUUUGGAGCAUUUUCCCGGACUUAUGAUAGGCCACUACGAGCAUUGGAGAAUUCUGACCGUAUUUCAUAGCCCAAGACCGGUUGGAGUCAUCAAAUCGGUGAUUAAGGGUUUGGUAUAGAAGAGAUCGAGGCAAUGGACCAAGUGUUCAAGAACCAAGGUGGAAAACCCAGAAUUGGGCCAAAAGAAUUAGCCCAAAAGUUAAGGUCCAGCUUGCCCAAAAGCUCCGCCCGACCGGGCAAGCCCUCGCCCUGUGUCGCGCCCGACCGAGCGCGAGUGAAGAUUAAAGGCUUAAAAAAGGCGGGCCCGGCCGGGCGAAGCUCCGCCCGACCAGUUUUGUUAGAUGGGUUAUGAAUCGCUGCUAUUAAUCACAGUAUAUCAUCAAUUGUGGGCUUACUUACUGAUCCAAAUAUUGGUGAUGAACACAAGAAUUUGCUGAAAGAGUUUAUUGACAACUGAGUGAAUGACAAUUAGGAGCAAAGGUGAAGGAAGAAUAACUAAUGCAAAUAUGGUGAAUAAUAUGUCAACAACAAUUUAACGACUUCGACUACAUGUUAGAAGAGUAAAAUGUGCUGAACUUUUUGACGAAAUGGGUGGUAAUCUGAGUUUUCGGCUACAGAUAAUGGCAAUAUAGGAAUGGAUGGAUAUGAGGCGAAAUGUAUUUCAAUAUGUAGUUUAUAGCAACUUACAAAGGUGCCAUAAACCCCAAGGGUCCUCAACUGCCCGUCAUUCACGGAAAAUACAUCCACAUCUAAGAUUGUACCUAUUUCUUUGACAUUGUAAAAAUAUUGGAUUUCCAAUACUGUAAAAGUAUUCUUGCUACAAUCGGUUACUAUGUUUUAGGAUUUUUUUAAAGGUUUAGAUUGAUUUCUUGCAUUACGUUUAUUUUUAUUUUAAUUGUUUCUUUGAUUCAGUUGAAGGAUUUCUUGUGACUAUUACGAGUACUACUAUGAGCAAUUUGUUUUCUGUUAAUGUUGAUGUGAUUUUUUCAAAAAAUCAGUGGCCGAUCGAACUCCAUUGUUUGCCAGUGAUGAUAA